rnacentral:lncRNA from 1 species
AUUCCCCAUCCCCCGAUCUCUAUCUUAGCAAGGGUCCAUCACAGCCCCUGAUCCCACUGGUUGGCCGUAAACUCCUGGCCCACUCUGAAUUCAGGAUGGAGCCUGGUUACAUAUGCCCACUGCCAUGUCUCCUAAACAAAAUCUGUUUUGAUGCUUCUAUCACCAUCUUACUCUGGUUCUCUCUGAGAGAAGACACAGCAGGAAGAGAUGACAGCUUUCUACAUGACAAAGAAGGAGGCCACAGGAGAAACCAACCCUGCCCACACCUUGAACUUGGAAUGUCAGCAUCUGGAACCCAGGAGACAUUAAGUGUCUGCUGUUUAACCACCCAGUCGGUGGUGUUAGAUAUGGUGGCCCCAGGAAGCACAGACACCAGCUGCUACAGAGGGAUGGCCAAGAGUUGGGUUUGCAUCUGAGCUCCACCACUAAGGAGCCAUCCUUGGACCAGUUACCCCACUGUCCAUGCCUCGGUUUCUCAACUGUAAGGUGGGAUUGGUAAUAGUGCCCAUCACAGAGGGUCAAAGGGUAGAUUCUUUGAGCUAAAACACACAAGGCAUCAGAACAGAGGCCCACAGUAACCAUGCGGCAUCCUUGCCACCACGUGGACAUUCUGGACACUCUCCUCUAAGGGGAGGAGUUCCCUCUAGCUUGGAGGAGGCCUAUCCACCGGCACCACCUCCAACUGUGGGAAACUUUUUAUUAUAGUUGAUUUACAAUGUUCUGUCCAUUUCUGCUGUAUGGCAAGGUGACCCAGUCAUACAUACAUACAUACACAUUAUUUGUCUCAUACCACCUUCCAUCCUGUUCUCUCAUAAGUGAUUGGAUAUAGUUCCCUGUGUGAUAGAGCAGGGCCUCAUUUCUUAUCCACCCCAAAUGCAAUAGUUCAUAUCUACUAACCCCAAACCCCCAGUCAGGAAACUCUCUAUACAGCUUGGGAGGGAGGGGGGAGGUGUAAAAAUUUGCCACCCAACUAUGCCACUUUGGCAUGAGGGCUCCUUUGAGUGGAGGUGACUGAGAAGCAGUAGAAAGGAAAACUCUGCCCUCCUCCACCUGCUGACCCCUUUGUGAGGAUGCCCCCCUCCCUCUCCUGCACCAGGAAGGGGAGAAAGACCUUUAUCAUCUGAGAAGGUACUGACUUCAGUCUGCAUAACAAACCUCACUUAAAUUGGCUCCAUCUUCUGUUAUUUUCCUCCAUAUGUUUACCUUCCCACAACUUCCUGGCCCCCAAAGCUGAAACCUGUCUUCCUUUGUCUUGUCAUAGGCACCUAUGUCCUUAGGUCUGUCACUUUAUGCCUCCACUUUUUUGAGAAGGGCUCUGUACAGAGACACAAUAAAUCUUGGCUUCUGUUGAUUCAUUGUUUGUUAGUUAAAUUCGCAGAUCCAUGGCACAGAACAUAAGAGGGUAGGUAAAAAUUUUUCCUCCCCUAUACAGCAUCAAGUACACCAACAGCAUCACCCCUUGGUCCUUGUUCCACCUCCGCAGCAACAGAGAUCCACCCUUUCCCCAUCUGUGAGACACUAGACUGCACACCUGCCUCCAGCUUCUCUCACAGCCUGGCCCCUGGCUCUCUCAGCUCAUGGCCUAUCUCAGAAAUGCCCUUCAGGCAUGAGCACAGGACCUCAGGCCACCUGGAGGGCAUGUGACAUUCAGGCAGCAAGUGUCCAUGUGGGUGGCUCUGGACUCUAACACGCAGGACACACAGGAGCAACUCCACCCUGGAGCCAGCCAGCUAUGAUGAUCUGUACGUCCCCCACACUGGUUUAUGUAACGCUAGCUCAGGGCCAGGGCUUGGACCUCAAACCCUACCCUCAGGGGUCUGUAGCCUGGGAUGGCUGCACCGCAGGACCCCAAGUGAGAGUGUGAUCAGCCCAACACAGGGAAACAUACUUCUGCUGUCCUCAUUAGGAGAACAGGUCUUCUCCCAGCCACCCACCCCAGUGGGCCACCUUCACAGCCAAGCGGAGGGUUGAUGGGAAUCCAGCCCCUCUGGAUCCGGUACCUGUUGGGCCAGAUCUCAAUGAUCCCAGACCUGGGGGCUCAGGUGACACCUGGGACCUCGUGGGGAUUCCCCAGUUUACUUUUAAGGGAAAACCACUGAGUUUCAAACGAAGAGAACCAGAAUUCAUCAACCCAAAUAUGUUCAUUUGGUAUAAGGAGUGUUCUGAGCAGAAGGCCACUGAGAACCAGCAGACUCAGGAAACACGGUAGGAACAGGGCACACGCUUUCCUUCUUUAAAGGAAAUGCCCAGUUGUGGGGACCUCACCUUCUCCCACACCUGGAAGAGGCCACUUAAUAACUCUCAUCCAUAAAAAAGGCACCAACCUGGAUCUCAAAACUCCACUAAACACCCUUCUUCACAGGGAUUUCCUGGCCACCUUGCCCUGACUCACCCUCCAAAGCUUUUUCUUUGUGCAGCCCAGGGGGGUAUUUAAGUCCCCUUCUUGCUGCCUCCUUGAGUAACAUGUCUUUAUCAAACACACACGUACACAUGCCUUUCCAUCUUUACUUCUCUUGUUAGUCUGUCUUUUCUCAGUUUAAAUUCUGGGUUCCAGGCUCUGAACAUGGAAGGGGAGAGGAUGCUGGAGCCACUGGCAUCCAUCGAGAAAGCCGUAUUGGACUCUUCAGGAAUGGUGUGUGCAGGAUGUUAAACACAGCAAGUGUUAGGAACUAACUUACAGCCUCACAUAGAAUAAAUGAUGUUAAGAAUCAAGGCAGGAGUUCCCGUCGUGGCGCAGUGGUUAACGAAUCCAACUAGGAACCAUGAGGUUGCGGAUUCGGUCCCUGCCCUUGCUCGGUGGGUUAACGAUACGGCGUUGCCGUGAGCUGUGGUGUAGGUUGCAGACGCGGCUCGGAUCCCGCGUUGCUGUGGCUCUGGCGUAGGCCGGUGGCUGCAGCUCCGAUUCGACCCCUAGCCUGGGAACCUCCAUAUGCCGUGGGAGUGGCCCAAGAAAUAGCAAAAAAGACAAAAAAAAAAAAAAAAAAAAGGGAAUCAAGGCAGCACAUCCUCAAAACUGCCCCUAUCACUCUAGACUCACUGGUUAUCAUAUUGUAUCUACUACCCACUCUGCUUGCUCUCACCCCCUCCCACCCACACUGUGUGUGAUCAAAUGCUCUCUGGGUGUCCCCUGGACUCCAUGUCCAGGAACUUCUCACUGGACACUUGAAACUGGCCACCAUGGGAAUAUCUACACCACAGAAAUGGCAAAGGCCAGAGCCUGGUCAUGGUUGAUCAUGCUUGUGAUGUCCCAGACUUAGGAAGUGAUGGGAAAGUGUGACUCAUGCAGACCACAUGCGCGGGUAUGUGUCUACACAGAUGCAUCCUAGCAACUGAGAGAACACGCUUCUGGAUCCAGAAGCCAGGACGUGGCUCGGCAGAGGCUGCUGACAUUACAGAGGCAGAAAUGAGCUUCUAUACAUGCAGGGUUCAAUCUUGCGCCUUAGUUACAAGAAAAUCAGAGCAAUGUCUGAACCACUCUCAUGAGUCAACUAGGGGACCACGGAUUGUAGGAGAACAGGAACUGGGCCAAUAUCUACAAAUGUUUCCUGUGAGGUCCUGGGCUCUCUGGAAUUUACACCAGAGUCCUGUCCACAGUAUUUUUUAAAUUGUGUGUUACAUAUCCUGUGUAUCAGUUUAGCUAAUAAACAUUCAUGAUCAUAUAUACAAAUUUGGGGGAGCUCAUUGACAAUAGAGGAUUGUGUGUUAUCUGUUAUUAUAUGUCAGCAUAUCAUCAUCAUGUUAUCUGUGUACCUCCAUCCUUCACACGACCUUAUAUCAUGAAUUGUGCACACAUGCUGGAUCUUCUUUCCCUGGAGAAUGGGGUUGGCUCACUCCUGCCCACUAGCCAGCACACUCCUGUCCAUGACCCCAUCACCGACCCCCUGAAAAACUCAGACCCUGAAACAUGAGCUGGACACACACCCAAUACCUCGGUGUCCAGGGAUAUGGAUUUUCCAGACUUUUGCCUCAAUUUCACAACUUGCCUAAUUGGAGAAACACCACCACUCUGCACACACAGAUGUCAGCAAGAGCAGCGGGCAGAGUUCCUGCGAGACAGAGCAGGAAGAACACAGUGUGUCUGAGCAGCAAGGCCAUGAUUACAGCUCUGGCAAAGCCAGGUGCCCUCACAUGAGAAGAAGGACUGAUGCUGUUGCUGCACGAUGUCUGCACCCAGCAGCCAACACCAUGGGAGGGGGAGUCGCACCAACAGACCUCAGCUUCCCCCAGGCCUGAGUGAAGGAAGUAAGGAAUGGAAGGGGACCCAGCAGGGCAUCCACAGGGUCCACAGCCCUUCCCCGAGAGAAAUCCCAAAGGAAAACAAACAAAUGGGACCCGAUCAAAGUCAAGCUUUUGCACAGCAAAGGAAAUCAUAAAAAAUAGAAAAGACAACAUACAGAAUGGGAGACGAUAUUGCAAAUGAUGCAACCCGCAAGGGCUUAAUCUCUUAAAUAUACAAGUAACUCCUACAACUCCACAACAAAAAGUAAACAAUCCAAUUGAAAAUCAUCAGACGAUCUAAAUAGGCAUUUCUCCCAUGAAGACAUAUGGAUGGCCAGUAGGCACAUGAAAAGAGGUUCAACAUUGCUAAUUAUUAGAGGAAUACAAAUCAAAACUACAAUGAGGUACCACAUUACACCAACCAGAAUGGUAUCAUCAAAAAGUCCACAAACAGUAAAUGCUGGAUAGGGUGUAGAGGAAAGGGAACCCUCCUACACUGUUGGUGGGAAAGUAAAUUGCUACAAUAGCCAUGGAAAAUAGAAUAGAGGUUCCUCAAAAAACUAAGAAACAAACAAAAAAACCCGACCUACCAUAUGAUACAAUAAUCCCACUCUUGAGCAUAUAUCCAGACAAAACUAUAAUUCAAAAGGUAUGCAUGCAGCCCUAUGUUCAUAGAAGCACUAUUCAAAAAAGUAAAGACAUGGAAACAACCUAAAUGUCCAUAAACAGAAGAAUAGAUUAAGAAGAUGUGGUACAUAUACACAAUGGAAUACUACUCAGGCAUAAAAAAGAAUGAAAGAAUGCCAUUUGCAGCAACAUGGAUGCAACCAGAGAUUAUCCUACUAAGUGACAUAGGUCAGAAAGAGAAAGGCAAGUGCCAUAUGAUAUGCUUGUAAUGUGGAAUCUAAAAUAUGGCACAAAUGAACCUAUCUACAAAACAGAGACAGACUCAUAGAUACAGAGAACAGAUUUGUGGUUGCCAAGGGAGAAGUGGGAGUGGGGAGGGAGUGUGAUGGACGGACUGGGAGGUUAGAGUAUAUGCAAACCAUUGCAUUUAGAAAGGAUAAACAACACGGUCCUACUGUACAGCACAGGGAACUAUAGCCAAUCUCCAUGAUGGAAAAGAAUAUAAAAAGUACAUAUAGGAGUUCCCAUCGUGGCACAGUGGUUAACGAGUCUGACUAGGAACCAUGAGGUUGCAGGUUCAAUCCCCUGCCUUGCUCAGUGGGUUAACGAUCUGGCAUUGCUGUGAGCUGUGGUAUAGGUUGCAGAUGUGGCUCAGAUCUGGCGCUCUGGUGGUAGGCCAGUGGCUACAGCUCUGAUUAGACCCCUAGCCUGGGAACCUCUAUAUGCCACAGGAGCGGCCCUAGAAAAG